GGCCUGGUGGUGUAGCGGUAACACAUCCUCUCGGUUUAUAGCCUUUCGAGGAUGUUGUCAGGAAGUCCCUUGUUCGAAUCAAGGCCAGGCCA